UGCGAAGCGAAGCAGUGAUGUGAAGCAAAUCGCACCAAAGCCAGUCCCAGUUCGGAUAAGAGGCUGAAACUCGCCUCUUUGAAGUCGGAAUCGCUAGUAAUCGCAGAUCAGCAUGUUGCGGUGAAUACGUUCCCGGGUCUUGUACACACCGCCCGUCAAACCAUGAGAGUCACCAACACCCGAAGUCCGCCUUGGCGGCCUAAGGUGGGGGAGAUGAUUGGGUUAAGUCGUAACAAGGUAAC
rnacentral:rRNA from 1 species